rnacentral:rRNA from 1 species
AUUGAACGCUGGCGGCAGGCCUAACACAUGCAAGUCGAACGGUAACAGGAAGCAGCUUGCUGCUUUGCUGACGAGUGGCGGACGGGUGAGUCAUGUCUGGGAAACUGCCUGAUGGAGGGGGAUAACUACUGGAAACGGUAGCUAAUACCGCAUAACGUCGCAAGACCAAAGAGGGGGACCUUCGGGCCUCUUGCCACCGGAUGUGCCCAGAUGGGAUUAGCUAGUAGGUGGGGUAAAGGCUCACCUAGGCGACGAUCCCUAGCUUGUCUGAGAGGAUGACCAGCCACACUGGAACUGAGACACGGUCCAGACUCCUACGGGAGGCAGCAGUGGGGAAUAUUGCACAAUGGGCGCAAGCCUGAUGCAGCCAUGCCGCGUGUAUGAAGAAGGCCUUCGGGUUGUAAAGUACUUUCAGCGGGGAGGAAGGGAGUAAAGUUAAUACCUUUGCUCAUUGACGUUACCCGCAGAAGAAGCACCGGCUAACUCCGUG